rnacentral:rRNA from 1 species
AGAGUUUGAUCCUGGCUCAGAACGAACGCUGGCGGCAGGCCUAACACAUGCAAGUCGAGCGCGCCUUCGGGUGAGCGGCGGACGGGUUAGUAACGCGUGGGAACGUGCCCUUCUCUACGGAAUAGCCUCUGGAAACGGAGAGUAAUACCGUAUACGCCCUUUGGGGGAAAGAUUUAUCGGAGAAGGAUCGGCCCGCGUUAGAUUAGGUAGUUGGUGGGGUAAUGGCCUACCAAGCCUACGAUCUAUAGCUGGUUUUAGAGGAUGAUCAGCAACACUGGGACUGAGACACGGCCCAGACUCCUACGGGAGGCAGCAGUGGGGAAUCUUAGACAAUGGGGGCAACCCUGAUCUAGCCAUGCCGCGUGAGUGAUGAAGGCCUUAGGGUCGUAAAGCUCUUUCGCCUGUGAUGAUAAUGACAGUAGCAGGUAAAGAAACCCCGGCUAACUCCGUGCCAGCAGCCGCGGUAAUACGGAGGGGGUUAGCGUUGUUCGGAAUUACUGGGCGUAAAGCGCGCGUAGGCGGAUUAGAAAGUUGGGGGUGAAAUCCCGGGGCUCAACCCCGGAACUGCCUCCAAAACUGCUAGUCUAGAGUUCGAGAGAGGUGAGUGGAAUUCCGAGUGUAGAGGUGAAAUUCGUAGAUAUUCGGAGGAACACCAGUGGCGAAGGCGGCUCACUGGCUCGAUACUGACGCUGAGGUGCGAAAGUGUGGGGAGCAAACAGGAUUAGAUACCCUGGUAGUCCACACCGUAAACGAUGAAUGCCAGUCGUCGG